CGGCGGGGCUGCUGGGUCUUCCAGGAGCGCGCUUGAGCGGACGCUGCCUACCGGUGGCCGGGCGGGAUGUAACCCGCUGCUGAGCUGGCAGCUCUGUGUCGCUAGGCUUCGGCCCGGCCGCCGCCGCACAUAAGCUGCGAGGAGGAGCUUUACGACUUCCCGGUCUUCGGGGCCGGGCGCAGCAAGGGCCAGACUCUGCGCUAGCAGGCGCUGCGCGCCAACCGGCCGGCACCUGUCGCAGAAGGUGCAACCGAUCGCACUGUCGCGCCGAAGCUCCUCAAUGGCCAGCGCCAGCUGCAGCCCCGGCCGCCCACUCGCCUCACCUGAGCCUGGGAGCUUGAAAAAUCACAUUUGAGAAGAGGAUUGGAUCCUAGCCAUAACAUAAAUAUAAGGGUGGAACCAAAGUUUUAAUCAAAGAAGGUGGUGUUCAGUUGCUGCUUACAAUAGUUGAUACCCCAGGAUUUGGAGAUGCAGUGGAUAACAGUAAUUGCUGGCAGCCUGUUAUCAAUUACAUUGAUAUUAAAUUUGAGGACUACCUAAAUGCAGAAUCGCGAGUGAACAGAUGUCAGAUGCCUGGUAACAGGGUGCAGUGUUGUUUAUACUUCAUUGCUCCUUCAGGACAUGGACCAUUACAUAACUGAAGACUCCCACCUUCAGGCAGGAUUGGGUAGUACGUGUUUGUAACUACCUGGCAUUGCCUUUUGUUGAGGAAGGGUAGAUGUCUACCCAAAUGGAAUAUUGAGUAUCAGAGACUUCAAAUGAUAACUUUUGUUUGUUUGGAGAAAAUCUUGAGGACGUGAUCACUGUACAAAAGCAUGGCAAAAUGAGGAAACCACUGACAGGUGAAGAAUUUGCACAAUGGAAAACCACCUUGACCAUCUCAUGACUUUAUACAGGAAUCGGAGACAUCCAAGGCCAUUCCAUUUCUAAAUCACACUUAUCCCUCAAUCAAGUCAGUGACUGGAUCAUCUCCUAAGGUUUCACCUGCUUUGCAUCAGUGAGUUGGACUAUGGAUCAGGUACUGUGCUCAGCAUCAGAAAAUGGGAUGACAAUGAACAGAGUAACAGGACUAUAUUUCUGAAAAAGGAUGAACUUACUGGAAACAGGAUUGCGUGCCUGAAAUAUAUCCAAAUGGAUAUAAAUGUCAACUCAGUUCUGGGCUGGAGAUAUAGAUUUGGAAUGCACCAACAAUGCAGAUGGUAAUCCUGGCAUGCGAGUAGGUGAGAUCAUCCAGGGAGAUGGCCUAUAAUGAGAGCCUACAACAUGUCAGAUUCUGUUCACUCUCUGCUAUCAGUUGCUGUGUCCUUAAGGAAUGCAGACAAUGUUAAUUCAAGCAAAACAAUAGAAAGAAAAUGAUUUGAAAUGAAAACUUGGCUUUAAAAAGUUACAUAAUAUACUCUCAAGCUAAAUAUAGGUUAUUUUUUAGUAUCUGC
rnacentral:lncRNA from 1 species